rnacentral:rRNA from 1 species
GACGAACGCUGGCGGCGUGCUUAACACAUGCAAGUCGAACGGUGAACGAGGGAGCUUGCUCCCUCCGGAUCAGUGGCGAACGGGUGAGUAACACGUGAGCAAUCUGCCCCGAACUCUGGGAUAAGCGUUGGAAACGACGUCUAAUACCGGAUACGACGCGGGAGGGCAUCCUCUCCGCGUGGAAAGAACUUCGGUUCGGGAUGAGCUCGCGGCCUAUCAGCUUGUUGGAGAGGUAACGGCUCACCAAGGCGACGACGGGUAGCCGGCCUGAGAGGGUGACCGGCCACACUGGGACUGAGACACGGCCCAGACUCCUACGGGAGGCAGCAGUGGGGAAUAUUGCACAAUGGGCGCAAGCCUGAUGCAGCAACGCCGCGUGAGGGACGACGGCCUUCGGGUUGUAAACCUCUUUUAGCAGGGAAGAAGCGAAAGUGACGGUACCUGCAGAAAAAGCACCGGCUAACUACGUG